UACGUAGGGUGCAAGCGUUAAUCGGAAUACUGGGCGUAAGCGUGCGCAGGCGGUGAUGUAAGACAGAUGUGAAAUCCCCGGGCUCAACUUGGGAACCGCAUUUGUGACUGCAUCGCUGGAGUGCGGCAGAGGGGGAUGGAAUUCCGCGUGUAGCAGUGAAAUGCGUAGAUAUGCGGAGGAACACCGAUGGCGAAGGCAAUCCCCUGGGCCUGCACUGACGCUCAUGCACGAAAGCGUGGGGAGC
rnacentral:rRNA from 1 species